AUUGAACGCUGGCGGCAGGCCGAACACAUGCAAGUCGAACGAGAGGAGGACGGGGGAGUAAUUUCUGGAAAACUGCCCGAUGGAGGGGGAUAAAUACUGGAAACGGUAGCUAAUACCGCAUACCAUGGGAUGUGCCCAGAUGGGAUUAGAUAGGAGGUGGGGUAAUGGCUCCAAUAGGCGCAGAUCCCUAGCUGGUCUGAGAGGAUGACCAGCCACACUUGAACUUAGACACGGUCCAGACUCCUACGGGAGGCAGCAGUGGGGAAUAUUGCACAAUGGGCGCAAGCCUGAUGCAGCCAUGCCGCGUGUAUGAAGAAGGCCUUCGGGUUGUAAAGUACUUUCAGCGAGGAGGCGUUACUCGCAGAAGAAGCACCGGCUAACUCCGUGCCAGCCGCCGCGGUAAUUC
rnacentral:rRNA from 1 species